rnacentral:rRNA from 1 species
UACGUAGGUGGCAAGCGUUGUCCGGAUUUACUGGGCGUAAAGAGCGCGCAGGCGGUCGUUCAAGUCGCGUGUGAAAGCCCCCGGCUCAACUGGGGAGGGUCACGCGAUACUGAUCGACUCGAAGGCAGGAGAGGGUAGUGGAAUUCCCGGUGUAGUGGUAGAAAUGCGCAGAUAUCAGGAGAACACCGUGGCGAAGGCGGCU